rnacentral:rRNA from 1 species
AUUGAACGCUGGCGGCAGGCCUAACACAUGCAAGUCGAACGGUAGCACAGAGAGCUUGCUCUCGGGUGACGAGUGGCGGACGGGUGAGUAACGUCUGGGAAACUGCCCGAUGGAGGGGGAUAACUACUGGAAACGGUAGCUAAUACCGCGUAACGUCGCAAGACCAAAGUGGGGGACCUUCGGGCCUCACACCAUCGGAUGUGCCCAGAUGGGAUUAGCUAGUAGGUGGGGUAAUGGCUCACCCAGGCGACGAUCCCUAGCUGGUCUGAGAGGAUGACCAGCCACACUGGAACUGAGACACGGUCCAGACUCCUACGGGAGGCAGCAGUGGGGAAUAUUGCACAAUGGGCGCAAGCCUGAUGCAGCCAUGCCGCGUGUAUGAAGAAGGCCUUCGGGUUGUAAAGUACUUUCAGCGGGGAGGAAGGCGGUGAAGUUAAUAGCUUCACCGAUUGACGUUACCCGCAGAAGAAGCACCGGCUAACUCCGUGCCAGCCGCCGCUGUAA